CGCCACAGACACCUAUCAGCCUUUUGUAAGGAGGAGCAGCUCGAGUGCGGUGCGGUCAGUAGCCCUUCAAAUUAGAAAAGUGAGGAUGAUCUUGUCAAUGCUGAGAUUUUCAUGCAUCAGCAGCCACUACAUCUGGAUCAGAUUGAACAAGAAACAGACAGCAAGGGUUGUCAGAUCAGAAACAGAAUGACACACAAACACAAGAAACUUCACAGGCAGAUCAACAUGCAAUUUGAAGACGUGUGAUAAAAUACAGAGAGGUGAAGUAGUGUGUCUUUCCAGAUGCCCAAAUCAUUCCCCCUUAAAAGAUGAGCCUGAAGAGGAGAUUUGGGAAGAUGCUGUUUCAUAAGUCGCUUUGCCAGAUCACCUGUGGUCGGGAUGUCUGCUAACAAGAUGCCUUGCUGGUCUGAGCGAGUUUAAAGUCUUACACAGACAGUCCAGAAGUUCUGAAGUCCAUCUUCGAUUUCAUUGGACGCUUUAAGGUGUAGAAACAUCUCAGCAACCUCAAGAGAAAUUGGAGGCAACUGAGCUAAAUUGCAGAUGUUGUUGCAAAGGGUCUGAAUAUGUAUAAUAUGCUGUCAUCGUAUUAAGUACAGCAUGAGCCAGAAUAGAUGGGUGGUGGUGGCCAUAAGAAGACUGUCAACUAAACCAACAACAAAAUUCAUAUUUGCAGUUUUUCUUGAAUAAAGUUUUUCUAGUCAGAUUAAUAAAAUGACUUUUAAACAUGAUUUUGUUUCAUAUUUUAUGAUUUUAUUCUAUAUUUAGAAAAUU